rnacentral:rRNA from 1 species
UUAUGGCUCAGGAUGAACGCUGGCGGCGUGCCUAAUACAUGCAAGUCGUACGAGGGAAGUCCAGCUUGCUGGACGGAACGAGUGGCGAACGGGUGAGUAAUACGUAAGCAACCUGCCUGCAAGGACUGGGAUAACACCUGGAAACGGGCGCUAAUACCGGAUAGGUAACAAAGGGGCAUCCCUAUGUUAUUAAAGGUUAGAAACACAAGCAGAUGGGCUUACGGUGCAUUAGCUAGUUGGUGAGGUAACGGCCCACCAAGGCGAUGAUGCAUAGCCGGCCUGAGAGGGUGAACGGCCACAUUGGGACUGAGACACGGCCCAGACUCCUACGGGAGGCAGCAGUAGGGAAUUUUCGGCAAUGGACGAAAGUCUGACCGAGCAACGCCGCGUGAGUGAAGAAGGUUUUCGGAUUGUAAAGCUCUGUUGUAAGGGAAGAACAGCACGGAAAGAAUCCGUGAAUGACGGUACCUUACCAGAAAGCCACGGCUAACUACGUGCCAGCAGCCGC